GUGCCUGUAGCUCAACUGGAUAGAGUAGCGGGCUUCGAACCCGUUGGUUGCAGGUUCAAGUCCUGCCAGGCACGCCA
rnacentral:tRNA from 2 species